AAAAAAAAAAAAAAUAGAAUGGCGAAAGCUGAGGUUUAUUUUUCAUUAUUUUGAGCAUUUUUUUUUUUCCCACACAAAAGCCUCUUUUGGGAUACAGACCCGUGGGGGGGGGGAAGGGGGGUCACACAUCAUCAGAGCAGAGGGGCGAUGCCCCCCCCCCCCCCCCCAAAGCUGUGCCCACACCUACGGCCGUGCAAUGCACACCGGACCCCUGCCCGUACUUCAGCACUCGAAGCUCUCAGAGGUAAACACAGCGAUGCCAUUAAAAGCCUUUUUAUUUAAACCGAUUUCACCUUAUAUACGUUAUCUCUGCUUCCCCCCCUCUUCUUCCUCCCCACCCCCCCUCACGGCCCCCCCCUUUCUUUUUUUUUUUUAUUAUUUAACUUGACAUUUAUGGCACACGUGAGCCCCAAUUAUUUAUUUGGGGCUUUCGCUGGGAAUUUAUUCCUGCUCUUUACAACGGGGCUUUCCUGCCCUGAUGUUACUUUUGCUGUAAAUAACGCUUAGGAAAUGAUAAUAAAAAGAAAUCUUAAAGAGGGAAAAAUAUAGAAAAGGGGGGGGUGAAAAGGAGGGAAAAUGAAGAGGGGGGGAAAUGGAGAGUAGGAAAAAAGAGGGGGAAGAAGGAAGAGGGGAGAAAAAGGGGAGGGGAAAUAGAAAAGGGAAAAUAAAAAAGGAGAAUAAAAGGAAAAUUUAAAAGAAAAAAUAUAGGAAAAAUAAUAAAAUAAAAUAAAUAAAAGGAAAAAUUAAAAAAGAGAGAAAAUAAAGAAAGGGGAAAGUAAAGAAAAAAAAAGAAAAAUUAAAAAAAGGAAAAAUUAAAAGGGGAAAAAAGAAAAAUAUAAAAGGAAAAAAUACAAAAAAAAGGAAAAACAAAAAAAAAGCGAAGAAAAUGGAAAAUAAAUAAAAAAGGAAAAAAUGAAAAAAAAAAGGGGGGGAUUAAAAAAUAAAAAAUAAAAGGAAAAACAAAACUCAAAGGAAAAAAAGGGCACCGCGAUCACAACCCCGAACUGCCGGCGGGUUCUGCGCCAUCGGCUGCCUCUCCCCGAAAUGGUUCGCAUUGUUUUGGAGCCGUCUCUCCCCUCCUUCGCCCCCCCUCACCCCCCCCCCAUCCCAUAAUUACAGCCUCGCAGCAGUCCGGGCGGCUCCUAAUUAAAAAUAAAACGUCGUCAUCCAAAGAGGACGAAAUCUCCCUUCGGCCCCGAAUGGGUUCGGAGCUCCGUCGGCCGCUCAAAGACGUGCAGAGCCGUCAUUAGCGAGAUGACCCCCCCAUAAAUACAUCUCCGAGAAGAGCUUAAACUGAAGUAAAAUAAAGCAGAACUAAAACGAAGAACGCAGCGCCGUCUCCUCGAUUUAUGUAUAUAUAUAUAUAUAUUUAUAUAUUAUUUUCGCCCUAUGACAAAAUAAAGGCACGAGAGGGGAGGGGGGG
ensembl:lncRNA